ACCUUCACCUUUUGUCAAAUAAAAAGCCCCCCAUGAUUCACAGCAUAGCCCCAAACAACCGAUCUAAAUGUUGAUGGUCUGCCCACAAAGAAGGUGGAGGAAUUUGGUAGAUUUCUCGCUGCAAAAUAGCAUGGUAUCAGCAUGGCAAGGCAAGUGAAUGGGAUUUGGGUUUUGGGGAAGCGGGGAAAGAAAGAGGCUGACAAAGACUGGGAACAGGCAGAGCAUGGAUGGAGCUAUUAAUGGAAAUAUCUGUUUUGGCUCCACCCAUGCACUGCCUCUUCCCUGGCUUGUGGCUCCUCCUUUUCUCCCUCCUCACUUUUUUUCGUUUUCACAAUUUCGUGCUUAUACUUCAUUUAAGAACCCUGUUAAGGGAAUUGUUAGCAUUGAUGUUUGGAAUUUUCUGCGCAUGAUAUUUUUAUGUCUAACGUUGAAAUUUUCUUUUGCCUGAUUUAGACUAACAUAUGCUGACCCUUAUCGCUAGAUUAGCAUUUUAUUUAUCUCUUUGAUGAAUUGAUACAUCUUGAAGAAUGAAGAGAUGAUGAUCGAUGCAAUUCCAUUUUCUAUACUGGGUCUUGACUCUUGAAGAGAGAUGGUUUUGGCCAAGGGAAAUAUCGUUCCGAGGACGUUGAUGACUAUGAAUCCUGAACUCUCGUUUUGUCAAAACCAAUUCUUGAGAAGAAGUCUAAGGAAAUGCUGAUAGCUUAUUUUCUCACUCAAGCUAAUGGAAUGAGGGAGCUUCAUGCUA